rnacentral:tRNA from 1 species
GUGUACUUAGCUCAGUUGGCAGAGCAUCGGAUUGUGGAUCCGAAGGUCACGGGUUCGAACCCCGUAGUACACACCA